UACGGAGGGAGCUAGCGUUGUUCGGAAUUACUGGGCGUAAAGCGUACGUAGGCGGUUAUUCAAGUCAGAGGUGAAAGCCCGGGGCUCAACCCCGGAACUGCCUUUGAAACUAGAUAGCUAGAAUCUUGGAGAGGUCAGUGGAAUUCCGAGUGUAGAGGUGAAAUUCGUAGAUAUUCGGAAGAACACCAGUGGCGAAGGCGACUGACUGGACAAGUAUUGACGCUGAGGUACGAAAGC
rnacentral:rRNA from 1 species